GACGAACGCUGGCGGCGUGCCUAACACAUGCAAGUCGAGCGGAGACAUGAGGGAGCUUGCUCCCGAAUGUUUUAGCGGCGGACGGGUGAGUAACGCGUGAGCAACCUUUCUCUCAGUGGGGAAUAACACACCGAAAGGUGUACUAAUACCGCAUGAGACCACAGUGCCGCAUGGUACAGGGGUCAAAGAUUUAUUGCUGAGAGGUGGGCUCGCGUCCGAUUAGAUAGUUGGUGAGGUAACGGCUCACCAAGUCGACGAUCGGUAGCCGACCUGAGAGGGUGAUCGGCCACAUUGGGACUGAGACACGGCCCAAACUCCUACGGGAGGCAGCAGUGGGGAAUAUUGGGCAAUGGGCGAAAGCCUGACCCAGCAACGCCGCGUGAAGGAAGAAGGUCUUCGGAUCGUAAACUUCUGUCCUAAGUGAAGAGUAGAAGACGGUAACUUAGGAGGAAGCCCCGGCUAACUACGUG
rnacentral:rRNA from 1 species